UACGUAGGGGGCAAGCGUUGUCCGGAAUCAUUGGGCGUAAAGCGCGUGUAGGCGGCUCGGAAAGUCUGGUGUGAAAUCCCCGGGCUCAACCUGGGAACUGCAUCUGUGACUGCAUUGCUGGAGUGCGGCAGAGGGGGAUGGAAUUCCGCGUGUAGCAGUGAAAUGCGUAGAGAUGUGGAGGAAUACCGAUGGCGAAGGCAGCCUCCUGGGCCAACACUGACGCUCAUGCACGAAAGCGUGGGGAGCAAACAGG
rnacentral:rRNA from 1 species